rnacentral:rRNA from 1 species
UGGGGAAUUUUCCGCAAUGGGCGAAAGCCUGACGGAGCAAUACCGCGUGAGGGAGGAAGGCUUUUGGGUUGUAAACCUCUUUUCUUAGGGAAGAAGUUCUGACGGUACCUAAGGAAUCAGCAUCGGCUAACUCCGUGCCAGCAGCCGCGGUAAUACGGAGGAUGCAAGCGUUAUCCGGAAUUAUUGGGCGUAAAGCGUCCGCAGGUGGCUCUUCAAGUCUGCUGUCAAAGACCAGAGCUCAACUCUGGGCAGGCGGUGGAAACUGGGGAGCUAGAGUACGGUAGGGGUAGAGGGAAUUCCCAGUGUAGCGGUGAAAUGCGUAGAUAUCAGGAAGAACACCGGUGGCGAAAGCGCUCUACUAGGCCGUAACUGACACUGAGAGACGAAAGCUAAGGGAGCGAAUGGGAUUAGAUACCCCCGUAGUCC